rnacentral:lncRNA from 1 species
CUUGUCUGUUGUUUCUGAGAGCCCCAGGGCACCUCAGACUUAGAUUUUACCUGGAUCCUUGUCCUCAGUGUCAUGGAACGUGCAGUGGGGACGCCUGACUCAACCUUAGAGCCGGUGGAAGAGAGCCGGCCAGAGCAGGCAGAGGAUUCUGUGUUGUCCAGCUUGGAUGGAGGCAGCCUCAGAAAGUGGCCAAGAUCCCAUGCAUCGCCACAGCGUACAGAUACUCAAACAAGCCUGCGAGUUGGGCAGGGCAGAGUUAACAGUACAGAAAGUGAGGCUCAGAAAGGGUAGGCCACUUGCCCAAAGGGCUGUGACCACAGCCCUGUUUCCCUUGGCUGAGGAGGGAGCUGCUGAAGAGGUGCCCCCGACUCGUCCCCUCCUGAAAGGAGUCUCCCAGCAGCCCAUGGCAGUCUUGCAGGAAUGGCAAUCACAACGAGAUCGAAAACUAUUGGUGACUUUUUCCACUUGAAUAUUUAAAGACACAGUUUAUUCUUUGUAAAAAGCUGCUUGGCAAUUGCCCUGAUGCUGAAUUUUUGUGGAAGACGUCAGAUGCGCACAUUCUUCACCUCAGUUGUCUAAAAGCACAAGUGGUUUGCCGUCUCCAUUGUUUGUUUCCUUGGUGUGCACUCUCUUCAGUCCCUGGGAGCCCGAGGAAGCCUGGUGUUACAUAAGCACUUCAUCAGAAUAAACAUCCAGCUAGAGGCUGCUUCCUUGGUCCUCCCGCCCUGGAGGAGCGCUUCCCUCAACCCCGACAUUUCCCAGACUGCAGACAGAUUUGCGUUCCUG